CGCUCAACAGCUAGCUCAACCCCCGAGUUCAACAACACAAUAUUAAUAACCCCCCAAGGCCUAAGCCACCCUAAACAAAUCAUUUUACCCCCUAAGUAUGGGCGACAGAAAAGGACACCCGAAGCAACAGCACUAGUACCGCAAGGGAACGCUGAAAGAGAAAUGAAACAAAUCAGAAGCAAGCACAACAAAGCAGAGAUUAACCCUCGUACCUUUUGCAUCAUGAAUUAGCAAGAAAGUGUCAAGCAAAAGGACUUUUAGUUUGACUCCCCGAAACCAGGUGAGCUACUCCAAGACAGCCUAAUUAGGGCGAACCCGUCUCUGUGGCAAAAGAGUGGGGAGAGCUUUGAGUAGAGGUGACAGACCUACCGAACUUGGUUAUAGCUGGUUGCCCGAGAAUUGAAUAGUAGUUCAGCCUUCUGCCCUCUCCCCCCAAGACCAUACCGCCUUAUUAAGCCCCUUAGAGGGCAUAAGAGUUACUCAAAGGGGGUACAGCCCCUUUGAAACAGAUACAACUUUAACAGAAGGGUUAAGAUCAUAAGCACACCAGGGAACGUGUUUCGGUUGGCUUAAAAGCAGCCACCCCCGCAGAAAGCGUUAAAGCUCGUACACCCCUCCCACCCUAUUAUUAGGACCACAACAUCUUACCCCCCUACUUCAUACCGGGCCUUUCCAUAGAAAUGGAAGAGAUUAUGCUAAUAUGAGUAAUAAGAGAGCCAGACUCUCUCCUCGCACAAGUUUAAAUCGGAACGAACUGACACCGAACAUUAACGACCUCAAAAAAGAGGGUACUGGACAUUAUAAAAAGACCACUAGAAAACCGUCCAACUAAACCCCGCCGUUAACCUUACACUAGAGUGCAUACAAGGAAAGACUAAAAAAAGAAGAAGGAACUCGGCAAACACCUCUAGCCCCGCCUGUUUACCAAAAACAUCGCCUCUUGCAAACUUAGAAUAAGAGGUCCCGCCUGCCCUGUGACUAAAGUUUAACGGCCGCGGUACUCUGACCGUGCGAAGGUAGCGCAAUCACUUGUCUUUUAAAUGAAGACCUGUAUGAAUGGCAUGACGAGGGCUAAACUGUCUCCUUUUUUAAGUCAAUGAAAUUGAUCUCCCCGUGCAGAAGCGGGAAUUUACCCAUAAGACGAGAAGACCCUAUGGAGCUUUAGACAAAGGGCAGAGCAUGUUAAGGAACCCAGAAUAAAGGGAAGAACUUAGUGACUGCUGUUCGACCUGUCUUUGGUUGGGGCGACCACGGAGUAAAAAGAAACCCCCGCGUGGAAUAAGGGGAACCCCCUUUCAAGUGAGAGUGACAACUCUAGCUAACAGAACUUCUGACCAAUAGUGAUCCGCCAAGGCGAUCAACGAACCGAGUUACCCUAGGGAUAACAGCGCAAUCCCCUUCUAGAGCCCAUAUCGACAAGGGGGUUUACGACCUCGAUGUUGGAUCAGGACAUCCUAAUGGCGCAGCCGCUAUUAAGGGUUCGUUUGUUCAACGAUUAAAGUCCUACGUGAUCUGAGUUCAGACCGGAGUAAUCCAGGUCAGUUUCUAUCUAUGAUAUGAUUUUCUCUAGUACGAAAGGACCGAGAAAAAGGGGCCCAUGCUGUAAGUACGCCUCACCCCCACCAAUUGACUUCAACUAAAAUAGAUAAGAGGGCAUAACGCUUCUUUCUAAGAAAAAGAAU
rnacentral:rRNA from 1 species